rnacentral:rRNA from 1 species
GACGAGGGACCCUAGCGUUGUUCGGAAUCAUUGGGCGUAAGGCGGGUGUAGGUGGCUUUGUAAGUCAGGUGUGAAAUCCCAGGGCUCAACCCUGGAAGUGCAUUUGAUACUGCGAAGCUUGAGUGCCGGAGAGGUUACUGGAAUACCUGGUGUAGUGGUGAAAUACGUAGAUAUCAGGUGGAACACCGGAGGCGAAGGCGGGUAACUGGCCGGACACUGACACUCAGACCCGAAAGCGUGGGGAUCAAACAGG